GCGGCGGACGGGUGAGUAACACGUGGGUAACCUGCCUGUAAGACUGGGAUAACUCCGGGAAACCGGGGCUAAUACCGGAUGCUUGAUUGAACCGCAUGGUUCAAUUAUAAAAGGUGGCUUUUACCUACCACUUACAAAUGGACCCGCGGCGCAUUACCUAGUUGGUGAGGUAACGGCUCACCAAGGCAACGAUGCGUACCCAACCUGAAAGGGUGAUCGGCCACACUGGGACUGAAACACGGCCCAAACUCCUACGGGAGGCAGCAGUAGGGAAUCUUCCGCAAUGGACAAAAGUCUGACGGACCAACGCCGCGUGAGUGAUGAAGGUUUUCGGAUCGAAAAACUCUGUUGUUAGGGAAAAACAA
rnacentral:rRNA from 2 species